rnacentral:lncRNA from 1 species
GUACGCUUUUGUAUCCCAACCUUCUAUUGAGACCGAAAGCUUCGGCAUCCAAAUCUGCACGAGUCAUCAUGAAUGGUCUACUGGGAGCAAACGUCCUUGUGUGGGUCGCCGCUGCUAUAGGUGUGCUCAUCAUGCUUCCCAAUGAAGCUGCUGCUCUUGGAGGCGGGGUUGGAGGAACUGGAGGAAUUGGCUUUCGCAAGAAGUGAAGCACUGCUCUGAUCAUGCCUGCAGAGACAAACUGAUGAACCACUCUUUGCUUUUAAUAAAAUGUCGAAAUAGAGACAUUAUCCUGUU